rnacentral:rRNA from 1 species
AUUGAACGCUGGCGGCAGGCCUAACACAUGCAAGUCGAGCGGGGUUUUCGGACCUAGCGGCGGACGGGUGAGUAAUGCGUAGGAAGCUGCCCGAUAGAGGGGGAUACCAGUUGGAAACGACUGUUAAUACCGCAUAAUGUCUACGGACCAAAGUGUGGGACCUUCGGGCCACAUGCUAUCGGAUGCGCCUACGUGGGAUUAGCUAGUUGGUGAGGUAAUGGCUCACCAAGGCGACGAUCUCUAGCUGGUUUGAGAGGAUGAUCAGCCACACUGGAACUGAGACACGGUCCAUCCUCCUACGUGAGGCAGCAGUGGGUAAUAUUGGACAAUGGGCGCAAGCCUGGUCCAGCCAUGCCGCGUGUGUGAAGAAGGCCUUCGGGUUGUAAAGCACUUUCAGCGAGGAGGAAGGGUGGUGUGUUAAUAGCACAUCAUUUUGACGUUACUCGCAGAAGAAGCACCGGCUAACUCUGUGCCAGCCGCCGCCGUAAGAC